CUUUACUAUUAAUUAAUCAUUAAUUCAACAUAUAUCCUCAAGCAUUCUUUGCAAAAGGUUUUACGAAAAAAUUCAAUUUUAUCCACCAAGGAAGCAAUUAUUUAAUGUAAUCGAAUACCAAAAAAAAGAAAAGAAAGAGAGAGAAUCUGUCGCACAAACCUGAAGCCCAUCGUCCAAAAUUACCGUCCGAAGGGUGGUUUAUUCGAGUAUUAUGGAAGGAAAACCAAAGAUGGAGCCGUAAUGUCACCGACGCUCGUUGCAGGAAACGCGCGUAUCGAUUUCGAGUGCAAGGCCGAUGGCGCACCAAAGGUAUCCUUACGAAGAGAGAAAAAAAAAGAAGAAAGCCGGUGGACGGUCGCUGGCUUCGCGAAUGAUUUACCCGAAUAAAAAAAGAAACCGGGAUAAAAAAAGACCACCCCGCGCGAAUAAACUUUCACCACGGAUCUCCCUCUAAUAACCCAAAACGCCUCGACUUUCCUCAAAGAGAACGCAUUUUUUUCUUAAAUUAACUUUUCCUCCCAUUCUAAACGAUUGUCACGCUCGAACGAAUUCUUUCAUCUUAAUCCGUUUUCGUGCGAGGUCGAGGAGGAGA